rnacentral:rRNA from 1 species
GACGAACGCUGGCGGCGUGCUUAACACAUGCAAGUCGAACGGUGACGGGGAGCUUGCUCCCCUGAUCAGUGGCGAACGGGUGAGUAACACGUGGGCAAUCUGCCCCUGACUUCGGGAUAACGCUUCGAAAGAGGUGCUAAUACCGGAUAUGAACCUCGCAGGCAUCUGCGAGGUUGGAAAGUUUCUCGGUCAGGGAUGAGCCCGCGGCCUAUCAGCUAGUUGGUGAGGUAAUGGCUCACCAAGGCGACGACGGGUAGCCGGCCUGAGAGGGCGACCGGCCACACUGGGACUGAGACACGGCCCAGACUCCUACGGGAGGCAGCAGUGGGGAAUAUUGCGCAAUGGGCGAAAGCCUGACGCAGCAACGCCGCGUGAGGGAUGACGGCCUUCGGUUGGUAAACCUCUUUCUAGCAGGGAAGAAGCGAAAGUGACGGUACCUGCAGAAGAAGACACCGGCUAACUACGUAGCCAGCAGCCGCGGUAA